rnacentral:rRNA from 1 species
GACGAACGCUGGCGGCGUGCUUAACACAUGCAAGUCGAACGGAAAGGCCCUGCUUUUGUGGGGUGCUCGAGUGGCGAACGGGUGAGUAACACGUGAGUAACCUGCCCUUGACUUUGGGAUAACUUCAGGAAACUGGGGCUAAUACCGGAUAGGAGCUCCUGCUGCAUGGUGGGGGUUGGAAAGUUUCGGCGGUUGGGGAUGGACUCGCGGCUUAUCAGCUUGUUGGUGGGGUAGUGGCUUACCAAGGCUUUGACGGGUAGCCGGCCUGAGAGGGUGACCGGCCACAUUGGGACUGAGAUACGGCCCAGGCUCCUACAGGAGGCAGCAGUGGGAAAUAUUGCACAAUGGGCGGAAGCCUGAUGCAGCAACGCCGCGUGCGGGAUGACGGCCUUCGGGUUGUAAACCGCUUUCGCCUGUGACGAAGCGUGAGUGACGGUAAUGGGUAAAGAAGCACCGGCUAACUACGUG